AUGCAAUUUUCUCAUCUGAUUCCAUUAGGAAAACGAUAUCAACAGAAAUACCCAAAAGAUGGGAAAGGGAGAAAAAGACUACUAAGCACAUAAUGUACAAAAUAAAAAGUUACAAUAUGCGCAUUUUUUUCCUAUUUUACCAUGUAAAUUAAGUACAAAUUAGAUGGAACUUAAUGGAGAAAAUUGCAAGAAAUCACCUAAAUGAUGACCCCUAAAAAUUGCCCCAACUAACACUUAGGAUGGAUGUAAAAGUUUGAAAUUAAAGAAUAUUAUGUGGAAAAUGAGCAUCCAAUACCAGCUCAAAUGUUAUCCACUUCAAAGCAGAGUUCCUUUUUCAGCAUUUGAAGAUAUCUUAGCUUUAAAUGAGUGCACAGAAAAACCAUUACAGAAUUUGAUAAUGAAAUCAGGUGAUUUUUUCCUGGUAGCCCACUGAACCCCAUCUUCACACACUGGAAUAAAACCAAGGUGUCAACACUCAACCAUGACAAGGGACAUGUACAUCUAAACUUUUUAUUCUUAAUUGUCUUAACCAACUGCUUAGAUAGGGCAAUGAUGAUGUAAAUUUUCAAUUGAUAUUAAUUU
rnacentral:misc_RNA from 1 species